CAGUACAGACCUCAGAGGACCAGACGAACCGCUGUGAGCUCAUCAGCGCUGCACCAGAAGGUUGUCCAGGUCCCCUCUCUCCACUAUAUUAAUGUUUAUUUAUUGGCAGAUGGGAAUCAAUCAGGAACGGGAAAUAAACCAGAAACUCACACAGCGUUCUGUUGUUCCUGGAUGAAAGGAUCUUAAAGUAGACAGAUGAAAGUCAAACCAAAUUGCCCAGAGGUGACUCGCCCUGCCCGUUUUACCCACAAUGCAGCAAAGCAGAAUGGUCCAUAUUUGUGGAAGCCGAAUGUCCCAGAGCGCAUUUUACCCCAGAAACGGGCAACAGUGGUAGAGGAUCACGUCCAUGUUAGUGAUCUGCUCAGCACCUCGCUUUCAUCUCCUGAGGAGGGACACGAAUAACGGGGAAGACUCCCGCCUGAAUAAAAAGAAAGCUUUCGAUGAAGGGAGACGUUUCCAGCGUGCUCAUCUGUGGACCUGUCCCCAUGGGGUGGAGAAGAGGGACACCUAGUCGCAGCAGCCGCAACAUCUGUGUGCUGCUACGUCUGUCCCGGGGGAGUCCAGGACAAGAAGGACUCCAUAGCAGAAAUACUUUUUUUAAAGUAAGAAUACCAAACGGACCAACGAGACAGACCAAAAGACCACCCACCAUGGACUAACGAGCCGAGAAGGAGACAGGGACACGCAUGGCUGUCCGGUGGACGACCAGAGGGAGGAUAAAGUCGAAGCAUGACGUCGGCGUAUCUUGCUGCUACUUGUGACCCUGUCUUUUUCGUGUCUCAUUAUCGGUCGUCCUCCU
ensembl:lncRNA